UUCAUAAUGACGUUUUACAAAAGCCUAUAAGGAUAAAAAUAUCAAACGCAUGAUAAAUGUUACUGCCUCUGUGAUUAAAGUGCCAUUUGUUUUACUCAUUCGAUUGGCCUAAUUUACAGCGUAAGGUCCAAGAUAUUGCAGCAGUCAAGAAAAGGACAGAAAGUGUAGUAGCUGAGCCAGCGGUCCCAAAUCCUAGUUACGAAUCGAUUGAAAGUAGCUUGGCGCAGUUGUUCGGCAUGCAAAAUACUCAGUUCGGUGACGUCAUAGAAGUUUGACGCAAGGAAUCAGGCAAUUCGCUAGCUAGAUCCAACGGGAAUGUUGGCCAGUAUGUACCAGCGAGCUUACACAAAGUUUGUCUAACAUGAACCAUCUAUUCUCUAAAUGAAAGACCAUGAUCAGUGCUGUUUAUAUAGUGUCAUAAUUUCACAGAAUUGUUCUAUUUCAAUUGCGAGUGAUAUUAGUUUAAGAUUGAUUUGACACUUCUUUCUCCGAACAUUCGUUCAGAAAUUUCAAAAAAAUGUUUAAUCGUAUUGAAGUGAUAAUAAUACUUGUUAGUUAUAAUGUAAUCUCAUUUCUCUUAUAAAUUCUAUCUGUAGAUCAUGAUUUGAAUGAGAAAGAAUGAAUUGAACAAUCAUUAGAGUAAUAUAACAAGAAAUAAUUUGAAUUCAUUCUUGAUUUUAUGUAUUGAUGAGUGAUAUAGGAAGGAAAAUACAUUGACUGUAUAUGAUGAAUUUCAUUUCGUUCCUCGUAUUUGCUAGAAAUUUGUAUUUUUUCCACUUGUAUUUUCUGUGUAUCAUGUUCAAAUAAUUUGAAAAAACUCUUGAGAUCUCAUGAUAUUGAACCAAUGUAUAUAAUUCUUUAGUGUAAUAGUUGAAAAUUCUAGCUUUUAUCAAUCCACAAGCCUUGUAGGAUUAUUACAAACCAUCACAGGGUUAAAUAUAUUAAGAAUUGAUUAAAGAUAUUAUUUCAGAUAACUUUAGAAUUAAAGAAAGUUGUCACUGUUUAAUUGCAUGAUAUAUCAAAGCUUGAUAUUAAUUAUUUUAUUGCAGUGAAUUAUUAGUUGCAUAAUUUGUUCUUACUGUUCGUAGUGCGACUCAUCAACUCUACCAAAGUAAUAAGAAAUCAUUUCAAUACAACUUGAUUUUGGCAAAACUCAAUCUUUGAAUUAUGCCUCGAUUGAUAGAUUUGAUAUAAGCGGUUGGCUUGUAUCAAAUGUCUAUAAUUUAUGAUUGAUACUCGUACAAAAUGUGAUUGAUUUUGGUCUAUCCAUUAUCAUACAGAAUAAUUUAUAAUUCAGUAGUAUUAUUUGCUCUGAACAGUAAGUGCAAUUCUAUUUAUGGUAUUCUAUUUUAAUAAUAGAAUAAUUUUAUAAUCAUAACAACUUUAAUAGGUACAUAGUUUUAAAAUAUUUCAUCACUACAUUUAUUAUUUAUUAGUUUGUCCAUUUUUCCCCUAUCAGUAGGACAAAUACAAUUAUGUUUUGAAAUGGAUCAAUAUAAAUUGUUAUCUCCUAAUAAGAUUCUUUUUCGAGUUUUAUUUGUAAUAAUUAAAUAUUUAUUUAUUUCUAAUAUUGAUGAGGGAUAUUCCAUUCCCUCGGUAGGCUACUGAGAAUAAUAAUCAUUGACAGUUGCGUUACACUGCAAUAGAACAGUUUUACUAUUCACUUUUUGAAAUCAAUGAAAAUUUGUUUGGAUUUAUUAAUAUUUGUUAUUUCAUACUGUCCAUAAAUGAAAUGAUACAAUGUUCUAAUCAUUAUAGAUUUUAUUUUAUUGCUGUUACUUCAAACUUGAUGCAUUGAUAAAUUUGUAAUUUCUAAAAUUGUAAUAGGUUAUUGAAGAAAUAACCAGCCAAAAUAUAGCUGAAAUCACUCCUUAUUUGGUAGUUCAGCCUUAAUAUGUUGGUUUCACUCCAAAAUUGGAUUUACCAAUCAUUGGUUUUCGAACAAUAUUAUUGUAUUGUAUCCCGAACAAUAUUAUUGAAAUAAGCUGAGCAACUGAAAAACAGUUUGUUUUUUUUUUUCUUUGACUGACUUUUUCCCAUUUAUGUCGGCAUUCCAUGAUCGCAGUCUACUUCUUCACAAAAGCCUGUCCAAUGUCUGCUCUCAUUCUCUUGCAAGUUAGCCACUACUCUGUCUUUCCAUCACAUUUUUAGGAGGUGCAUACAGAUAUACGCGCCGCGAACAUGAGCAAUUCACUGUUAAUCAGCUGAAUAUAUCUGUAUUUUUACAGAAACAGUAAGAUACAGUUAUAAAAAGCUUGGCAUUGGCUGAUUAAAAGUGAAUUCCUCAUGUUCUUGGCGCGUAAAUCUGUACGCACCUUUUGGUCUACAUCGUCCUCUCACUUCAUCCAAUACCAAAUGUCACACUCUGACUAAACCACCUCAUCCUCCUGCAUUUUCUUACCCAGUGGACCAACCUUUACUGACCCUCUAAUCAACUCAAUCCUUUUCUUGUCUCUUCUUGUAAUCCCACACUUUCAUCUCAUUCACUUCCAUCUUUCUUUCCUGUCUCUUUGAAAUGGGCCACGCUUCCGUUCCAUACAGCUUAGCUGGCCUCACUACUCACUUAUAUACUUCAUCCUUCAUUUUACAAUUCACUCUUCUAUCACAAAGAAGAACACCCUUCAUUCUUCCCCAGUUCAUACAUCCACAAUUAAUUCUAUGCUGUAUUUCUACAGGAAGCACUCCAUCUCUCUGCACACUUGGACCUCCCGGAUACUUGAAACUCCCAACUGGUUGGAGUUGGCUUCCCAGUCCAUCAUUCCCAAUUCCCAAUUCCAUGUGCUACUCUGUUUUUGAUCGGCUAAUUUUCAGUCAAUAAAAAUGAGCAACUGAAAGCCAUUUCUCCGUUAUAUCUUGCUGAGAAUAUACUCAAGUCUAUUUUAAUUAAAUUGAACAUUUUAUCAAAGUCUUUACUCCCAAAUUCUGUCAUGUAGGUACUAUAAAAUAAAAUAAUCACUGAUGUUAGUUACUAUGAGCGUAUAUCAUUAUUAUACAUGCUACGCAUCAAUUAUCUUAUUUAUACAAUAAUUAAUCUGUUUAUUUUCUGAAGAAAUUCAACUAAGGUUAUUGCUCAAUAUAUUCGGUUAAAUAUUAGCCUAAAAUAUAAUGUUACCAUUGAAAAUCAAUGUAAUCAAUGUGUUAUUAUUAUUUAGACGUUUAUAAUUGAAAUUUUCAAUAUUCAAAGCACAAAGUUUUGAAUAUCAUAUUUUAAGAAAUUAUAGUUCUUGCUUUUAAAAAAAUUCUAUUCUUGGAAACAAUAUUUAAUACCAUUUGUGUUCUUAAAUAAUUGGUUAGUUGUUUUAUUUGCUACUAAUAAUAAUAAGAGUUAAUUUUCGACUUGUGUGUGACUUUUCCAAUGACUAAAUUAAUUUCUCACUUGAACACAUCACUUUUUAGCUCUUGAACUAUUGCUGUUUAGGUACAAAUUGUAAAUUUCGAAAAAUGUAAAUGUCGAAAAAGGAUAAUAUACGAACUUGCCCAGUGUGGAAUGAUUAGAAAUAUUUCAAGUGAUGACUGUGUGUGUGUGUGCCUCUGCAAGUGUUAUGGAGAUUAAUUUUACUAUUGUAUAUAAAUUUAAUCAGUAAUGUUGGUAAUUUAUUCGUUUUAGUUAACAGAAUAAAAUUUGAAGCAUUAUUGAA
rnacentral:lncRNA from 1 species